UACGUAGGGUGCAAGCGUUGUCCGGAAUUAUUGGGCGUAAAGAGCUCGUAGGCGGUCAGUCGCGUCUGCUGUGAAAACUCGGGGCUUAACUCCGGGCCUGCAGUGGGUACGGGCUGACUAGAGUGCGGUAGGGGAGACUGGAAUUCCUGGUGUAGCGGUGAAAUGCGCAGAUAUCAGGAGGAACACCGGUGGCGAAGGCGGGUCUCUGGACAGUUCCUGACGCUGAGGCACGAAGGCCAGGGGAGCAAACGGG
rnacentral:rRNA from 1 species